ensembl:snRNA U6 U6 spliceosomal RNA
ACUCAUUUCAGCAGCGUAUAUUCUAAAAUUAGAAUGAUAUAGAAAAGUUAGCAUUCACAAGGUUGACAUGAAAAUUUGUGAAGCACUCCAUAGUUUU